CAUUAAGAAGCUGAUUUAGCGUUAACCUUUUAAGUUAAAGAUAGAGAGCAGAGCUCUCCUUAAUGG
rnacentral:tRNA from 1 species